GGAAUAAUAGCUUAAAGGUAAAGCAGUCCACUCAUAAUGGAUGGAUCAGAGUUCGAUUCUUUGUUGUUCUA
rfam:Cyberlindnera fabianii strain 65 BON22_Sc21, whole genome shotgun sequence.